rnacentral:rRNA from 1 species
UGAACGCUGGCGGCGUGCCUAACACAUGCAAGUCGAACGAAGCAUAUGAAACGGAGAUCGUCGAAGAUUCAUAUGACUUAGUGGCGGACGGGUGAGUAAUGUAUGAGCAACCUGCCUUUCAGAGGGGGACAACAGUUGGAAACGACUGCUAAUACCGCGUAAUGUAUCACAGAGGCAUCUCUGAGAUACCAAAGGAGCAAUCCGCUGAAAGAUGGGCUCAUAUCUGAUUAGCUUGUUGGCGGGGUAACGGCCCACCAAGGCGACGAUCAGUAGCCGGACUGAGAGGUUGAACGGCCACAUUGGGACUGAGAUACGGCCCAGACUCCUACGGGAGGCAGCAGUGGGGAAUAUUGGGCAAUGGGCGAAAGCCUCGACCCAGCAACGCCGCGUGAAGGAAGAAGGUCUUCGGAUUGUAAACUUCUUUUAUGAGGGACGAAGGACGUGACGGUACCUCAUGAAUAAGCCACGGCUAACUACGUGCCAGCCGCCGC